UACCAGCACCCCGAGUGGUCGGGACGAUUAUUGGGCCUAAAGCAUCCGUAGCCGGUUUUACAAGUCCUCCGUUAAAUCCAGCUGCUUAACAGAUGGGCUGCGGAGGAUACUAUAAGACUAGGAGGCAGGAGAGGCAAGCGGUACUCAGUGGGUAGGGGUAAAAUCCGUUGAUCCAUUGAAGACCACCAGUGGCGAAGGCGGCAUCCUGGACCGAGAUUGACGCUGAGGCGCGAAAGCCAGGGGAGCAAACGGG
rnacentral:rRNA from 1 species